AUUUUACAGUAGAUUUCUGUUCUGUUCUGUUCAGGUGCCAUGCAUGAUGCAUGCUUGGGCUACCAUGUCUCUCUAACGUUGACGGUUACGAGCACAGGCAAAGAUUUCUGCAGUGUUGGCGAUUCCGGUAACUUUCUUAACUCUGUCCAAAUACGUUAUGCGUUGACGGCCUCGUGCUCUUUUCCCUUCGAUUUUUCCUUGCAGCGCAACACAUUCCAGGCCUUCCUUCCGAACUACGUGGCCAAGAAAACGAAGUUGUCUCUCGAUUAUUACGGAGAGUAGUUCUCUCUUCACACCGGCUCUUCUCAUAACCUCUUCAUUUGAGACGUGAUCAAUAAAUGACACUUUCAACAUCCUUCUCAAAAACCACAUUUCUGCUGCUUCUAAGUUUUUCUCCAGGUCAGCAGUUAGA